rnacentral:lncRNA from 1 species
CCAAAGUGGCUUAAUUUUCAUACCUGGAAAAUGGUAGACACUGCCAACGAGCUCUGUUGGGGCUCCGGUUAGAAAUAUUGCUUCUCCUCCAUGCAGUCUCUUGACAUAGAUGCUUGUAUUUUCUUUACAUGCAGUGGGUGGAUGCCAAGAAGGAGGCUUCCAAGAUUUAGAGACGGACCAUUUCAGAAGAUGAUAUGAGUUUUAUAACUGUUGCAUUGUUAGUUAACUCAAGUCACAGAGCCACCUCGGAUGCAAGAAGGGAAGAAAGAGAUGCCCUCUCUAAUGGUUGAGUGGAAGGUUUUUAUUGAUGAUGAUGAUUAUGUUAAGCUGGGGUACACAGGAGAGGAGGAGGAUAAAAAUGAAACAAACAGCACAACAAUUAUUGAACACUUCACAAAUGCCAUUUUGUAAGUAUUCUAUAAUAUCA